UCUUCCACAUAGCUUUCUCUUUGUUUUCGACAAUUUCCUCUUACUAGGAUUUCUGUCUCCUUGUACACAAAUUGCCUGUUUAUAGGCCUCCUUCAAAAUCAAUACAACCCUCUUUCAAAAAAAGAUGCUUUUGUUUUUACUUUUCUGUUUUGGUUGCGUAAAUGUCCAUUGAUUUAAUUUGAAUUAAUAUGUGCAUUUGAAUAUG
rnacentral:lncRNA from 1 species